UACGAAGGGGGCUAGCGUUGCUCGGAAUCACUGGGCGUAAAGCGCACGUAGGCGGACUCUUAAGUCGGUGGUGAAAUCCUGGAGCUCAACUCCAGAACUGCCUUCGAUACUGGGAGUCUCGAGUUCGGGAGAGGUGAGUGGAACUGCGAGUGUAGAGGUGAAAUUCGUAGAUAUUCGCAAGAACACCAGUGGCGAAGGCGGCUCACUGGCCCGGUAUUGACGCUGAGGUGCGAAAGCGUGGGGAGCAAACAGG
rnacentral:rRNA from 1 species